rnacentral:rRNA from 1 species
UACGUAGGUGGCAAGCGUUGUCCGGAAUUAUUGGGCGUAAAGCGCGCGCAGGCGGUCCUUUAAGUCUGAUGUGAAAGCCCACGGCUCAACCGUGGAGGGUCAUUGGAAACUGGGAACUUGAGUGCAGAAGAGGAAAGUGGAAUUCCAAGUGUAGCGGUGAAAUGUCGUAGAGAUUUGGAAGGAACACCAGUGGCGAAGGCGACUUCUGGUCUGUAACUGACACUGAGGCGCUGAAAGCGUGGGAGCGAACAGG